AUUGAACGCUGGCGGCAGGCUUAACACAUGCAAGUCGAGCGAUCGGCGGACGGGUGAGGAUUACCUGGGAAACAGCUUGAUGGCGGGGGAUAACAACCGGAAACGGUAGCUACUACUGCCUACCAUCAGCCGUGCCCCGAUGGGAUUAGCUGGUAGGUGGGGUAAUGUCGCACAUAGGGGACGAUCCCUAGCUGGUCUGCGAGGAUGACCAGCAACACGGGAACUGAGACACGGUCCAGACUCCUACGGGAGGAGGCGGUGGGGAAUAUUGGACAAGGGGGGCAAGCCGGAGGCAGCCAUGCCGCGUGUGUGAAGAAGGCCUUCGGGUUGUAAAGCACUUUCAGCGGGGAGGCGGUACCCGCAGAAGAAGCACCGGCUAACUCCGUGCCAGCAGCCGCGGUAAUUC
rnacentral:rRNA from 1 species